rnacentral:rRNA from 1 species
GUAAAGUGGCGAACGGCUGAGUAACACGUGGGAAACCUGCCCUUUGCACUGGGAUAGCCUCGGGAAACCGAGGUUAAUACCGGAUACUCCAUAUUUGUCGCAUGGCGAAUAUGGAAAGCUCCGGCGGCAAAGGAUGGGCCCGCGGCCUGUUAGCUAGUUGGUGGGGUAGUGGCCUACCAAGGCAAUGAUGGGUAGCCGGGUUGAGAGACCGACCGGCCAGAUUGGGACUGAGACACGGCCCAGACUCCUACGGGAGGCAGCAGUC